rnacentral:rRNA from 1 species
AUGUUUGAUGGAGUUUAGCGGAUGCUUCGGGGAGUCAAGCAUGUGACAGGGCUAAGGAGAAAUCUAAUUUCGCUUGGUGUUCUUCAUGAUGGUGAUAUGGAAUUCCGUUGUGAUCGGGAUACGAAGACCAUGCAAAUCAUGAAAGAUGGGGUGACCGUGAUGAUAGGAGAGAGGACGGCUUCGCAUCUACAAGUUGCAGGGGAGCACUAUUGCAGGUGGAGCCAUGGAGAGUGGAGCUGCAGGAGUAGCAGUGGAGUCCCACGGUGGCGGCAGGUCUGA